rnacentral:rRNA from 1 species
GCGGAAUAGCUCCGGGAAACUGGAAUUAAUACCGCAUACGCCCUACGGGGGAAAGAUUUAUCGGGGAAGGAUUGGCCCGCGUUGGAUUAGCUAGUUGGUGGGGUAAAGGCCUACCAAGGCGACGAUCCAUAGCUGGUCUGAGAGGAUGAUCAGCCACAUUGGGACUGAGACACGGCCCAAACUCCUACGGGAGGCAGCAGUGGGGAAUAUUGGACAAUGGGCGCAAGCCUGAUCCAGCCAUGCCGCGUGAGUGAUGAAGGCCUUAGGGUUGUAAAGCUCUUUCACCGGAGAAGAUAAUGACGGUAUCCGGAGAAGAAGCCCCGGCUAACUUCGUGCCAGCAGCCGCGGUAAUACGAAGGGGGCUAGCGUUGUUCGGAAUUACUGGGCGUAAAGCGCACGUAGGCUGAUAUUUAAGUCAGGGGUGAAAUCCCAGAGCUCAACUCUGGAACUGCCUUUGAUAGUGUGUAUCUU